rnacentral:rRNA from 1 species
AGUCAAGUGAAUAAGUGCAUCAGGCGGAUGCCUUGGCGAUGAUAGGCGACGAAGGACGUGUAAGCCUGCGAAAAGCGCGGGGGAGCUGGCAAUAAAGCUAUGAUUCCGCGAUGUCCGAAUGGGGAAACCCACUGCAUUCUGUGCAGUAUCCUAAGUUGAAUACAUAGGCUUAGAGAAGCGAACCCGGAGAACUGAACCAUCUAAGUACCCGGAGGAAAAGAAAUCAACCGAGAUUCCGCAAGUAGUGGCGAGCGAACGCGGAGGAGCCUGUACGUAAUAACUGUCGAGAUAGAAGAACAAGCUGGGAAGCUUGACCAUAGCGGGUGACAGUCCCGUAUUCGAAAUCUCAACAGCGGUACUAAGCGUACGAAAAGUAGGGCGGGACACGUGAAAUCCUGUCUGAAUAUGGGGGGACCAUCCUCCAAGGCUAAAUACUCAUCAUCGACCGAUAGUGAACCAGUACCGUGAGGGAAAGGCGAAAAGAACCCCGGGAGGGGAGUGAAACAGAACCUGAAACCUGAUGCAUACAAACAGUGGGAGCGCCCUAGUGGUGUGACUGCGUACCUUUUGUAUAAUGGGUCAACGACUUACAUUCAGUAGCGAGCUUAACCGGAUAGGGGAGGCGUAGGGAAACCGAGUCUUAAUAGGGCGAUGAGUUGCUGGGUGUAGACCCGAAACCGAGUGAUCUAUCCAUGGCCAGGUUGAAGGUGCCGUAACAGGUACUGGAGGACCGAACCCACGCAUGUUGCAAAAUGCGGGGAUGAGCUGUGGGUAGGGGUGAAAGGCUAAACAAACUCGGAGAUAGCUGGUUCUCCCCGAAAACUAUUUAGGUAGUGCCUCGAGCAAGACACUGAUGGGGGUAAAGCACUGUUAUGGCUAGGGGGUUAUUGCAACUUACCAACCCAUGGCAAACUCAGAAUACCAUCAAGUGGUUCCUCGGGAGACAGACAGCGGGUGCUAACGUCCGUUGUCAAGAGGGAAACAACCCAGACCGCCGGCUAAGGUCCCAAAUGAUAGAUUAAGUGGUAAACGAAGUGGGAAGGCACAGACAGCCAGGAUGUUGGCUUAGAAGCAGCCAUCAUUUAAAGAAAGCGUAAUAGCUCACUGGUCGAGUCGUCCUGCGCGGAAGAUGUAACGGGGCUCAAAUCUAUAACCGAAGCUGCGGAUGCCGGUUUACCGGCAUGGUAGGGGAGCGUUCUGUAGGCUGAUGAAGGUGCAUUGUAAAGUGUGCUGGAGGUAUCAGAAGUGCGAAUGUUGACAUGAGUAGCGAUAAAGCGGGUGAAAAGCCCGCUCGCCGAAAGCCCAAGGUUUCCUACGCAACGUUCAUCGGCGUAGGGUAAGUCGGCCCCUAAGGCGAGGCAGAAAUGCGUAGUCGAUGGGAAACAGGUUAAUAUUCCUGUACUUGAUUCAAAUGCGAUGUGGGGACGGAGAAGGUUAGGUUGGCAAGCUGUUGGAAUAGCUUGUUUAAGCCGGUAGGUGGAAGACUUAGGCAAAUCCGGGUUUUCUUAACACCGAGAAGUGAUGACGAGUGUCUACGGACACGAAGCAACCGAUACCACGCUUCCAGGAAAAGCCACUAAGCUUCAGUUUGAAUCGAACCGUACCGCAAACCGACACAGGUGGGUAGGAUGAGAAUUCUAAGGCGCUUGAGAGAACUCGGGAGAAGGAACUCGGCAAAUUGAUACCGUAACUUCGGGAGAAGGUAUGCCCUCUAAGGUUAAGGACUUGCUCCGUAAGCCCCGGAGGGUCGCAGAGAAUAGGUGGCUGCGACUGUUUAUUAAAAACACAGCACUCUGCCAACACGAAAGUGGACGUAUAGGGUGUGACGCCUGCCCGGUGCCGGAAGGUUAAUUGAAGAUGUGCAAGCAUCGGAUCGAAGCCCCGGUAAACGGCGGCCGUAACUAUAACGGUCCUAAGGUAGCGAAAUUCCUUGUCGGGUAAGUUCCGACCCGCACGAAUGGCGUAACGAUGGCCACACUGUCUCCUCCCGAGACUCAGCGAAGUUGAAGUGGUUGUGAAGAUGCAAUCUACCCGCUGCUAGACGGAAAGACCCCGUGAACCUUUACUGUAGCUUUGCAUUGGACUUUGAAGUCACUUGUGUAGGAUAGGUGGGAGGCUUGGAAGCAGAGACGCCAGUCUCUGUGGAGUCGUCCUUGAAAUACCACCCUGGUGUCUUUGAGGUUCUAACCCAGACCCGUCAUCCGGGUCGGGGACCGUGCAUGGUAGGCAGUUUGACUGGGGCGGUCUCCUCCCAAAGCGUAACGGAGGAGUUCGAAGGUUACCUAGGUCCGGUCGGAAAUCGGACUGAUAGUGCAAUGGCAAAAGGUAGCUUAACUGCGAGACCGACAAGUCGGGCAGGUGCGAAAGCAGGACAUAGUGAUCCGGUGGUUCUGUAUGGAAGGGCCAUCGCUCAACGGAUAAAAGGUACUCCGGGGAUAACAGGCUGAUUCCGCCCAAGAGUUCAUAUCGACGGCGGAGUUUGGCACCUCGAUGUCGGCUCAUCACAUCCUGGGGCUGUAGUCGGUCCCAAGGGUAUGGCUGUUCGCCAUUUAAAGUGGUACGUGAGCUGGGUUUAAAACGUCGUGAGACAGUUUGGUCCCUAUCUGCAGUGGGCGUUGGAAGUUUGACGGGGGCUGCUCCUAGUACGAGAGGACCGGAGUGGACGAACCUCUGGUGUACCGGUUGUAACGCCAGUUGCAUAGCCGGGUAGCUAAGUUCGGAAGAGAUAAGCGCUGAAAGCAUCUAAGCGCGAAACUCGCCUGAAGAUGAGACUUCCCUUGCGGUUUAACCGCACUAAAGGGUCGUUCGAGACCAGGACGUUGAUAGGUGGGGUGUGGAAGCGCGGUAACGCGUGAAGCUAACCCAUACUAAUUGCCCGUGAGGCUUGACUCU